CCCUUAGAUGUUCUGGGCCGCACGCGUGCUACACUGAGUGGAUCAGCGGGUCAGGUUGCGCGAAAGUGUUUCCUAAUCUUUAAAUCCGCUCGUGAUGGGGAUUGACGGUUGCAAUUUUCCGUCAUGAACGAGGAAUACCUUGUAAGCGCGGGUCAUCAUCCCGCGCUGAAUACGUCCCUGCCCUUUGUACACACCGCCCGUCGCUCCUACCGAUUGAGUGGUCCGGUGAGGCUUUGGGAUCUGAGCGGAAAGAGCGUUUCGCUGUUUCUGCUCGGAAAACUCAGUCGAACCUUAUCAUUGAGAGGAAGGAGAAGUCGUAACA
rnacentral:rRNA from 1 species